UUUCGUGACUAAAUAAUCAGUGAAAAUGCUAUAUAGAGCUUUCAGUUAAAGCUUCCUAGUGUAAUCAUUACCUUUAGACAGUAUGGCAGGAAAAAGCAACAACAACAAGCAAGGCUUUCAAUAAAACUAACGUUCUCGUGAGAAGAGUUCGAUGUACUAUUUUGAAACACGCUUUCGCACUAUCCGAUUGAAAAUUUGUAUUCCGCAUUAACAACCUAGUUAUCGAGUUUAAAGACUGGUGUUAACAUCGUCCUCUGUCGAGAGAAGAAGAACACCUUUCCUCAUUUACAACAAGAAAAAAAUUUCCUUAUCCUCGUCUUAAGAAUUCGUCGGAAGUCGCUAUUUUGGAUUUAGUGACUACUCUUGACAUCAAAUAAUACAAGCGAAUUCGCAUAUCCAUAAAUUCAAAGUGGUGGCUCCAGAAUUGAAAAUUUCUUUCCUUUUGGACAAACUGAAGUAACAUACAUUUUUUGCUUUGUUUUGUACUUUUUUAACAAUUAAGCUCUGAAAAGUUUGAAAAUUUAGGUCUGGUUUCAUUGUAAAGAUCGGAAUUGGCUAGUUGCAAUUAUUCAAGAAGAAAAAAAACAGUCAAGGUUAAGGAGAUUAAUUUGCAUUUCUGUUUCUUUUGAGCAAAAGGUGUAAGUUGUUCACUGGAAUCUAGAUUCUACAACAUACCUUGCACAAUUCUGCUUCACACUUGGAUGAGUAAAGAAGAAUUUUCCCUUGUGAAUAGAACUUGAGUUUGGUGCGCCUCAAUGACGUCAUGCGAAUACCAAGCAAAGAAUUUAAACGUGCUGGGAUUUCCACGUUCAUCGCAACAGUUUUGUUACCCAAAGCAAACUGUCGUGCGAACUUUCUUGAUAUGAGUAGUAACGGAUAAGUUGCAGGGAACGAGCUCUGUAUUCUUGUUUCUUACGACAAAAUCUCUCGUUGACAUCUUAAGCGAAGACGGUGGCCAUUUUACGGUCAACAUUAAAUGUCAAAAGAAAACUUGAAAGGCUGAAGAGUGAAUGGAUACUUCGCUGUCAAGUGUGUCUUCACAUCAGUAACAAGUUGUCAUUGUGAUCAGGAAGCCUGCAAUCGCUGCCAUAUUAAUGAAAAAGAAACAAAGACAUGCAUGUAAAGCGAAAUGAUAUGAUGCAGGGGAAAAAUUUUCCUGCGGAAAAGACAAAUUUAAGGUCAUGAAACAGAGAAAUAUGGACUCAUUUGACACCUGCUCUUUCUUGGAUUUAAAGUCCGUUUCCUUUGAGCUGGUGCAAUCCUGAUUCUAAGGAUGAUGAACCGAAAUCCAUCGAGAGCCUUGGUAUUGUUCCCUUUUAAUACUAUAAUUAUCAAUCCACUGGGGAUGAGAUAGUUAAGGAGGAUGAUUAAUAUUGCAUUGGAUGGAUCCCUGGGUCUUUUUCUAGAAACUCUUUUCUGGUAUCAUUUUAAACCUGCCUUGGCAAUGAGGGUUUUCUUCAGUUAUUCUUUGCUUUCUGCUCGAACAUCAUCGUGCACAAAGCUUUUCUUACGCUGAUUUGCUGAAGUUAGUUCCAGUAACAUUUGUUACUAGGACGAGCUAGCCUUGGCCAUUCAGUUUCAUUGCGCUUAAACGCUGACACAAACACUAGUUCUUCAAGCCAAUUGGUCCAUUAAGCAUUUGUCCCAAAUGGUUUGAAUAAUGAAUGUGGGGACGCGAAAGGGCGUUGUAGAUGUAGUCAGUGAUGAUUUUCUCUAACAGCUGAAUAUCGAAAGGAAGGUAUAAGUGCUCAAUUAAUUCUGUUUGUUCUCCAGCGUUUAAGCAAAAAUGCUCUAAUAGCAAGGAACAUGUGUUUUGCAACGUGUUUUGCUGUUCAGGGUAAACUUCUGCUUUCACAGCAAAGCAUAAGAUUUUAAAAAGGCUCUCUUUUGGGGAAAAAAAGGGAACUUGAUUACAAUGUUGAAAUUCUGAUUCUGUAAAUGUUUUUUUUUCGAGCUGUAUAUCGAAUAUCCAACUUAAUGAAUCAAAGGCAAGCAACUUUCACCAGAAACAUAUACCUAGGUGCCUUUUUCUUCAUGAAUCGACGGACGUUUUUCUUCGAAGUGUAGACGAGUCGAUACUUUUUGCUUCAUAUAGCGAGUCAGUUUCUUUUUCUCUAGUGAAGCGCAUAUCGAGUGUGCGAGGGACCUUUUUCGCGAAUACCGAUCCUGCCGUUGAGUUAAGCUCAUUGGGACGCAAAUGUAUAUCGAUUCGUCUUUUUCUUCAUGGAUCAAAGGAUAUUCUUAAUCUGAUGUUGCUUGUCUUUUGUAACAACUUUUUCCGUAUUACCGGCAUUAUUUGUGGCUUACUCUGUUUCGUUUGGAGGACUCCAUCUUAACUACUUGAUCAUCCUUUAACUUGCAUGCAACUUCAAGAGCUCUCAAAUUGACGUCAUUCUUUAUUCCCCUUGAUUCUGCUUAUCUUUGUUUUCCUUUCGUUAUUUUUUAAAGGCCUUUUUCCUCUUUACAGUCUAUUGAAAUUGCGACCGUACCUUCAUGUUAUCUUACUUCUUUCUGUGAUUCCUCUAAUAUCAUUCAGCCAUCGUCACUCUCUGAACGCCCGUAUGCGGGUAAGAAAGUCUUCACAAAAACACUAAGCCAUCGUCAUAAUUUUCUUAUUGUUCCACACUUGAUAAUCGGUUGCAAUUAUCUUUUUUCACAUCGUUUUACGUAAUGUCAUCCAUGCCAUGUACUAAUAAUUAUGUUACAGGUAUAAUUACUGACAGGCAAGAAAACUAUCCGUACAUCAUUUAUGGACAAAAUCGCAAGAGACGGUCAUACAACUUUUCAUCUUAAUUCGAAAGACUCCUAUGAUGCUUAACUGGGCAACUUUAAACUACUUAGUGGAUCCAAAAACCGAAUUCGACGCUGUCGGCUCCUUCGUAUCUAAUUAUUCCUUACUGAAUUGUGUUCGAUUCGUUCCAUUAAUUGUCAUUUAUGUCCGAGUCCUGUAUUCUGUCGUCUCUAAUUCGGUGGACAGUCGUAACACUUUAAUCGGCAUCUCGAUCUGUUUCGACCCGAAAAGGUCAACGUUCUCACUUCUUCCGUAGUACGACCCUGACUCGGAAUCCAACGGUCCUUCGGAUACAUCUUUCAUUCGUACGUUAUGUUUCCUUAUUUUCCGCGAUGAUACAAGUCAAUUGUGCACAAUUAAAGUCAUUAAUCCGAGAUUUUGUCAAAGCAAUGUAUUAAAUAUCAUAAGGCCAGUACACAUAUUAAUAUAUUUACAAUAAUUGUUAGAGCGCCGAUCAUCUUCCCAUCUAUAUCAGGAAACAUUUCUUACUGGCUUUCAACCGACAUCUCCAUCAUUUUCCAUUCGAAAUCCGUAAGCUUCUCCACUGUUUCAAAUCCGACGACCCUCCGCGUCCAUCGUGAAUCGUUACGUGUUUCGUUUUAUAGAUAUAUAUAUUAUUUAAUUUUAGCAUAAUUGACAUUGUUUGGCCAAAAACUACCUAAGGUUGUCAAGAGAGACCACAGUUAUACGACAAAAUCGAGCUAUUUCCGUUACGCAACUUUCAUCCAGGUAUUCGUCGCUAUACAUCCAUCGAGUUGUAUUCCUCACAUCCGGUCGCUGCUUUUUCUUCACAUAUUAACCUAAAAAAUUCUUCUGGUAUUUAUUAACGGUCUUCGACUUCGAUUUUCAUCAAAGCUUAUCGUCUCACGCUCGCCUUUUCCGAUUCGCAUCGCCACCGUCUAAGAACUGUGUUUACCCAACAGUCUUCGACUAAGCCAUCCUUCAAUCCGCGGAACCUUUUAUGUAAAACUACACUUCCUUCACGUUCGGGAAAAUUUUCGUUGGCAUUUGUACACGUUUAAUUAUACCAAAAUCAGAACGUCCGAUUCGAAUUCCCCUUUUUUAAACUCUAUAAUUAAUAUUCCUAUUAUCUUUGUUAUUUCUUCUUCUUCAAAUACUUUACUCUCACUAUUGCUCACUUUUUUAAUUAAAGCUAGCAACCUUUACCAUACCAUUUCUUUACCCACAUGCACACCCACCAACUUUUCUCCCUCACUCCAAAGGCCUAAUAUUAUCUCCGAAUCUUCUGCAAAAAGAACACUCUGGAUGUCAUACACCCUUCGUAUAUGGAGUUGAAUUGCGUCUGGAUACAAAACUAACACUUUGGCACGCGAAUUCAUCAUUGAGAAGAAACAAGUGCCAUCAAACGAAAGGGAACAAGAAACAUUACUAAGUGCAAAACAUGGUGGAAGCACAAACAUUGGUUACCGUAUUUGCCACCCGGAGAAAGAGACCGUUUUAUUAGCGUUGGUUGUUUGGUUAGAAAAUGUCUUGGCAUCGAGCCUGAUCUGCCAUAAUUUCUGGCAAACCGCAAUUUAUCCUUGACAGAAGGAAUGUCUUCGUUCGCACAAAAUGUGCAAGUGUACAAAAUGGUUUGGAUCCUUAUAUUUGGAGUCGUGUUUCUUUGCACUUUAUGGUGAAAUCUUGGCUUUUAUCGUUGGAAACUAUGUACCUUGAUUUCUUUUUUCCUUGCGGGUGAUUCUUUCUUUUUCAGUUGCGAGUGUGAGAAAAUGAGCGCGUUGCGGCUGCGUAAGCGAGACAGCGUACUUCGCCUGCUAUAAAUUAUUUGAUUCAUUUUAGCUAUAGUUAUUACGAGAUUGAUUUCACUGAUGCUGCUCUUAAUCUUGUAGAAGUUUCUGAAAGCCUGUUGCAGGUUAUUGGCAAGCAAAAGAUGUCUAAUCUGCCUAAAAAUUCGCCAGACGUGCAUUAAGGUUACACGAAACGGUAGGAUAAAGUUGGCGUCAGUGAAAUGGUGCAAGCCUGCUUUCGAGAUUAAACGAAGAAGGAGGAGAAUACAGUGAAGGAGAGGUGAAAGAAAGGGGAGCAGGAGGAGGAGGAGAAGAAGACGGAGAAGAAGAAGGAGGAGGUCCUGGAAGUUCCGUUUUCAAGAGGACUAAACGUUUGCGUGGAAAACGGAAGAGGGCAGAAAUCUACACAAGUAACUCCAUUCACAGUUUUCAGAGCUAUUGCUGCCGUGUUGAAGAGGAAUGAUCACACAGUUUUUGUAACUAUUUUACAACGUGGGUGUUCGAAAGAUACUUGAAGCCAAAGAGUCCCAAGACCACUGGCGUUCCCAGGCUAUCAGUUACUUUUUGAAUGAGUGAUGUUCGGCUAACAACGCUUAUGUGCCGAAAAUUAUUAAGCCACCAUUAAUCAACGAAAGGAUUUUGAUGUUCAAACCGGCACGCCAUCUGAACAGACGAAGAUGAAGAAUUUCAAGCUGUUUUUAAUAAGAAUUGAAGUUGAUGAUUUUCGCAAGUAAUUAUUUGUGGCCUCGUAAGAUAAUCUUCAGUAUACAUUCGAUCUAUUUAGUACUAUAGAGAUGAUGUGCAACAAAGUAAAGCCUUUUACUGAUGCCUACCACACUUAGUACCGUUUUAAAGACUGACAAUAUAAGGAUAUAAGAAAUGUGAAAGUAAUCGAAUUAAUGUUAUAAAAUUGAGGGUGAAUUUUGAUACUAGCCUUGCCCAUAGAAAACUAAUGAACUUCAUGAUAGGAUAAUAACGGCCUACUAUUCUGAGAAAUAAAUUGCGUGUGUUGGCAUUAGACCUAAAAAAAUACACAAAAUAACAAUAUUUUAUGAUCUGCGAGUACCUUUAUCAGUUAUCAUUAAAUAGCAAAUAGCGUGUGCACACUUAGGUACUAAUUAUAAUAAUAAAUACUUAAGGUAAAACGGCUUUUACUGUUGUUAAAUGACUUUAUAAGUAACUCUUGCCUCAAACUGACUGAGGGAGACUAAAGGUACGAUAUAGUGGUACCGGCAUAUUCUCGUACAUAAUUUACGACUACGUUUGUUAUUUCGCGCAAUGACAAUGCAGGCGAAUUAAUAAUCAGCUUAUAUAAGUAAUUCAUUGAUCACAUACGAUAUUCAGUGAUGAUGUAUAUGAGUGUUUGUAAAUCACCGAUGAAUAAGUCAGUACAGACAAAUGGUAUUUUAAGAAUAUUAUAUUCUCUAUACAUUACGUAACCAACAAUUAAGUUGAUUCGUGUAAACUAAACACAUACAAGGCAAUUAAGUGAAGCGCGCUUUUUUCUUAACAUCUUAUUUGCUUGGUUGCUACAGGUGACAUACGAACAGAUAAUGGCUGGUGCUUACACAUCGCUACAUCCGCUAAUUAACUUGUCGAAUAUUAUAAGGAAUUUAAAAGGCGAACAAACUGCAAUUCAGUCGUAACUUCUAUUUCAGAAUCUCAGUGAAAGUGCGCGCUCUACUGUGAGCAAACAAAUUCAGUAGCAACUUACGACGAAUAGUAGAAGACAAUACAAUUCUAGCAUAUUACUGAAGACUCUGUAUGCAACUGUAAUGAGACUUCUUCUGUUAUUGAUUGCAUGUAUUUUUGAAUAAUGAAUGUAUUACAUUAUAUAUUACACGGUAAAAUAGCGAUAAUAUACACUUUAUAAAUAGAGAUUUAUUCUGCGAUCUUAUUGGGCGCAUCCAUUAGUAAAUAAUAAAUAGCUAACUGGGUAGUGGCUUAUUAUAUGAUUCAAUGGUACAAACCGGUUAGUUAAUAUCUGUUGACACGUGAGAAAUAGCGAUAUUAUACCUUAUUACAGCUCGGCUAGUAGUUAACCCUUUGAAUAAGUAACGGAAGCGAAUGUUAUGAUUUCGUUGAAAGCCCUUUUUUGAAUGUAAAUCUACAUUCUUCGAUAACAUCAAACACGAACAGUAACUAAAACUUAAUUAAAACUUGUAAGGCGCGAUCCAUAAAUAACUAAGUAGAAACCUCGGAUAGUAAAUGCUAUGAUAGUCGUGGGUUCGUGCGUAACUAAGUAAUGAUGAUAGAACUGACGCCCGCUAUAUUAUACACUGCGGUUUGUUGUCUACGUGACUGUUUGUUGAUUAGAAACUAUAAAUUUUACGCUACCAUUACGUUCAACUUAACUUCAAUGAAAGCUUAAGUAUGCAUA